GUUAAUCUUUCAAAUUAUUCAAUAAUAACUGGAUUUGUCUUAACAUAUCCUUUUAUAAACCCAGAUGUGCUAUGUAGUAGCAAGAGGUGGGUUUUUUUUUUACCAUGUAAUCAUGUAGAAGAUAUAUCCUUAAAAAGGACUUAGUUUCAAUUAAGUUGCAAGUUCAAAUUUUAAAAAUGGCGAGAGCUUGAAGAGAAAAGAAGGGGUUUUGGCAUGUAGAAAAGUUUCAAUCUUUUACAUCUUCAGAACUCAAGCAUGAACAGCCGCGCCCCCACUCCUCAAGGACGCUACAAAAGGCUCUCUCUUGGAUUAUCUCGAUGUACCUCGGAUCAAAAUAGAGCAUUUUUGCAAUGGCUUGCUGCUUUGCUCUUCCGCCGCUUACUUGCUAAAACCCGCUGCGGGGGGGGCUCCUGCAAAUCUUGUAGACUAUUGUAGCUAUGUGGUCAAUGAUGACGAUCGUGGGCAAAGGUAUUUUAUUUGCAAUCCACCUAAGAGGCAAUUCCAGAGACUUGCUUUCCCUAGUUAAAUAGUAAUAUCUAAAUUUUUUACUGCCUCAUUAUGCAUGGCUUGUUUUGGCCUUUGAUCCUUUAAAGUCACCUAGCUACAAUAUAAUUCUCUUGUGCCUAUUGGAUGUAAUAUCGGGAUAUGGAAUUGAUGUUUAUUCAUUAAAGACAGAAUCAUGGACUCAGGCACCAAUCCCUUUUGAAAGGCCAUUCGCAAUGUUCAACUGUGACGGUGUUUAUUUUGUAAUGGUGCCAUUUAUUGGUACAGUAUAGGAGCACUUUAGUGUAUUUUGAAGACAAUAGCAAUACCUCCUAUGUUAUUCAUGAAUAUGCCCCAAGACACGGAUUCAGUAAUUUGGGGAGUCUCGUGGCCAUUUGAACAUGGCAGGUGCCGAUGAGCUCUCCAGUUUUUCACAAUUCUACGUCUUGGAGAUGCCAUCUAAUCAUUCUGGUUGGUUUGUAAGAUACCAUGUGGAUCUUCACUAGAGAAAAUCCUUGCGCGCUUUCAGUGUUAAGGGUUCUUCGUACUGAAAAGGAAGAAGAGUCGAAGCUUGUUCUACUCAUGAAUGGUGGUAGAGUUAUAUUUCAUAAUACUUGUGACGGGAUACCUAACAAUAUAUGUGAUUUGGAGCCUAAGCCAAGAGAUAACAGUAGCAGAGGCGAAUUGGAUUAUAGAAGUCGCGGUGCCUAUCAAUACUUUGAGACAAAAUGUAACAUUUAAGCCUUUCUGAUUGCUAGUGGAACGAUCCCUUCAUCUAAAGAA